UCUUUAGCGGUGCGCGACUAAACUAAAUUACAUAGCGCACUAUCAUUACGGGGAACCUUACCGGGCGCUGCUAACCGGGAUAGUAAAAUAGGAGCGCUGCUUUGGAAAAGCAUCGGGUGAGCAAAUUUAGCCACCCGAUAGUUGCGCAAGUGACAGCUGCUAUUUCACAAAGUGCCAUCGAUGCUAUCUGUUGUUUUUAACUUGUAGUUUGUUUGCCGUGGUGUUUUUGUUGUUUGGUGCGCAGCAAAGAACAUGAGUGCAUCCAAAUCCCGCGGAAAAAACUGGAGUGUAGAAGAGGACGAAGCCCUGUGUACUGCGUGGUUGAAUGUAUCCCAGGAUGGAGCAACCGGGACGUAUCAAAAACUUGAUACACUGUAUGAACGCAUAUAUGAGAUGUUCAUAGAAAUAUGCACCGAGAAAAAUUUGUCUUGUAGCGCAGAGUUACGAGUUCCAAGCGGACUGAAAGCAAGGUGGUUGCUCAUCAGCAAAGCUUGCAGCAAGUUUUCGGGUUGCGUGGCGCAAAUUUCUGCUCGCCAGCAAAGCGGGACCACACAGUCCGACGUUUUCAAACAAGCUUUCACACUCUACAAUACAUCAACGAAGAGUCCGUUCAGUUUGCUGCACGCGUACAAAAUUUUGGAGUGUGCUCCAAAAUGGAAGCAGUACGUGGACAUUAAGGUGGCGGCAGUUAACUCGUCGAAGCGUAGGCAGUCGGAAGAA
rnacentral:lncRNA from 1 species